rnacentral:rRNA from 1 species
UACAGAGGGUGCGAGCGUUAAUCGGAAUUACUGGGCGUAAAGCGCACGUAGGUGGCGACGUAAGUCGGGUGUGAAAUCCCCGGGCUUAACCUGGGAAUGGCAUUUGGGACUGCAAGGCUUGAGUGCGGCAGAGGAGACUGGAAUUCCUGGUGUAGCAGUGAAAUGCGUAGAUAUCAGGAGGAAUACCGAUGGCGAAGGCAGGUCUCUGGGCUGACACUGACGCUCAUGCACGAAAGCGUGGGGAGCAAACAGG